UACGGAGGGUGCGAGCGUUGUUCGGAAUUACUGGGCGUAAAGCGCGUGCAGGCGGCCGACUAAGUCAGGUGUGAAAGCCCGGGGCUCACCUCCGGAAGUGCGCUUGAAACUGGUCGGCUAGAGUACGGGAGAGGGAAGCGGAAUUCCUGGUGUAGCGGUGAAAUGCGUAGAUAUCGGGAAGAACACCCGUGGCGAAGGCGGCUCUCUGGGACGGUACUGACGCUGAGACGCGAAAGCGUGGGGAGCGAACAGG
rnacentral:rRNA from 1 species